GUAAACCUGGAUUCCGGUUUUGCACCCCAUUUUUAGUUGUCAGAGCUCAGGUGGGGCCUUUAACUUCUCUGGGCCCUGACUUUCCCCUCUGACACUGGAAUAACAACAUCCCCUGGGUGGAAAGAGAGGCAGCGGCUGAGGCAGGGAGAGGCCAAGAGUGCGCGCUGGCUCCAAGGGCCAGGACACCUUGGCGGCUGCCAGGCGGUGGCGGUCCCCAGCCCGAGGAUGCCAGCGCCAGACAGUUCCUGGCGCGGCUGAAAGCUCGCCCCCUGGCGGCCCGAGCUGCGGCCGACGUGGCGGCGCUGGUACGCAGGGCCGGCGCCACCUUGCGCCUGCGCCCCAAGGAGGCCCUUAGAAUACCAGAAGGACAAUGACAUCAUGGAUUUGUCCCAAGAUGCCCUUGCCUCCUAGGAAGAGUUCCUGGCAUGUCAAGUACAGUCGGUUUUAAAAGCCUUGCGUUGUACUUCCCUGGUCGUGCAGUGGCUAAUGUUCAAGGCUCCCAAUGUAGGGGGCCAGGUUCAGUUACCUUGGGGAAUUGGAUCCUAAGUAACUAAGACCUUGCACAGCCAAAUAAAUAAGUAUUAAAAA
ensembl:lncRNA